CAUCGAAUGCUUCCCUCCCUCCCAAUCGGCCACUUGCUGCAACCCUAAGCGUCGUGGACACGGCUUCAAUGCUAUGUGGUCUCUCCUCCCCACCAGUUGUCGCGAUCACGAACAGCUCCACAUGGGAGCCACUAGGCGUCCCUCGCAAUCCCCUCCGCGCUGAUGCUUGAAGAUCGAAGCAGGUCAUGCAGUGAACGAGGAAGGAGAGGGUUUUGUGGGGCCUUGGGAAAGGGUCAAUUUGGGGCAAGGAACAUGAGAAGAAAAAGUUGGGCUCUUUGAAGGCUUUUUACUGCGUGUAAAGGAGAAAGGAGCACGAAAAAGGGAAAAUAUGCGAAGAACGAGGGAGGACAGAGAAUCAAGGGAAGAUGGUUGGCGUCAAGAAGAAGAAUCGGCCUUUCAGGGACUGCGCAGGGCAGUGCUCUCUCGGAAAAGCCCUCUUUUCAUUCUCAUUGUCUUCCUCGUCCUGCCCAGCUUUCUUUCUUCGAGAUCAUGCUUGGUAGUUUCAGAGAGAGCUUGAAGUUGCCCCAGUGGUCGCCAUCUCAGAAGGAUAAAAGACAUGAAAGGAACAUUGUAACUCUUCGGGAUCCAUCUGACAGACUUUGGCCUGCCACGUACCAUGAAAGCAUCAAGUUUAUAGGCUUUGCAAAUAGUUGGAAGGAUUUUACAAUAGCAAACAACAUUCAGCAGGGAAAUCUUUGCCGGAUUUUAUAACCGAGUUUGAGCCUACAAUUAAAGUGCAGAUAAGUUUAACUGUCGAAUGCAUUUUGAGUUGGCUCUAGUAAGAUACAUGUUGCCAGUGCCAGUUCUGUCUUCAACAUCUAUCGUUUUACGUAUGUAAUUUUGGUCAUAGUACUUAUCAUGCACUGUGUUUACUGCUGCUACAUGUACUCCAUAUGUAAUUAAGCUUCACAAAUGUAAAUUAUGUUUUGCCACCCAGCGACAGAUGUAACGUUUCUUGCACUCAUCAAUGAAUUGUACAUAUUGUAAAUGAUGAUACAACUCUGGGUUUCU